rnacentral:rRNA from 1 species
GCCUGAGAAACGGCUACCACAUCCAAGGAAGGCAGCAGGCACGCAAAUUACCCAAUCCCAGCUCUGGGAGGUAGGGACGAAAAAUAACAAUGCGGGACUCUUCCGAGUUUGCGUAAUUGGAAUGAGUACACUUUAAAUCCUUUAACCACAACCAAUUGGAGGGCAAGUCUGGUGCCAGCAGCCGCGGUAAUUCCAGCUCCAAUAGCGUAUAUUAAAGUUGUUGCGGUUAAAAAGCUCGUAGUUCGAGUUCAGUUCCGGACUGGCUGGGGAGGUCACCGCCCGGUGCUUCCCCGUCAGGCUCCGAACAGCUUUUAUAAACUAAAAGCCAAGUCGGUUUCGCCGGGGUGCUCUUCACCGAGUGUCCCGCGCGGCCGGCCAGUUUACCUUGAAUAAAUGAGAGUGCUCAAAGCAGGCUACUCUUAAAAAUAAAGCCCGAAUGUUACCUGCAUGGAAUGAUGGAAGAUGAAUCUCGGUUCCAUUUUAUUGGCUCUGGGAAUCCGAGUUAAUGAUAAACAGGGACGGUCGGGGGCAUCCGUACUACGACGCGAGAGGUGAAAUUCAGUGACCGUCGUAGGACGAACAACAGCGAAAGCAUUUGCCAAGAAUGUCUUCGUUGAUCAAGAACGAAAGUUAGAGGAUCGAAGGCGAUCAGAUACCGCCCUAGUUCUAACCCUAAACGAUGCUGACUAGCAAUCCGCCGUCGUUAUUCCCAUGACGUGGCGGGACGCCCCCGGGAAACCAUAAGUCUUUGAGUUCCGGGGGUAGUAUGGUUGCAAAACUGAAACUUAAAGGAAUUGACGGAAGGGCACCACCAGGAGUGGAGCCUGCGGCUUAAUUUGACUCAACACGGGAAACCUCACCAGGCCCGGACACCAGAAGGAUUGACAGAUUAAGAGCUCUUUCUCGAUUUGGUGGGUGGUGGUGCAUGGCCGUUCUUAGUUGGUGGAGUGAUUUGUCUGGUUAAUUCCGGUAACGAACGAGACUCUGGCCUACUAAAUAGUCGACGGGCGUUUUUGUGCAUGGGCCCCGUUCGACAAUGUCUUCUUAGAGGGAUGAGCAGCGAGUAUAGCUGCAGGAGAUUGAGCAAUAACAGGUCUGUGAUGCCCUUAGAUGUCCUGGGCCGCACGCGCGCUACACUGAAUGGGUUAGCGGGUUCUCCUUCUCCGAGAGGAGCGGGAAAUCGCGUGAAAACCAUUCGUGAUAGGGAUUGGGGCUUGCAAUUGUUUCCCAUGAACGAGGAAUUCCCAGUAAGCGCAAGUCAUCAGCUUGCGUUGAUUAAGUCCCUGCCCUUUGUACACACCGCCCGUCGCUACUACCGAUUGAAUGAUUUAGUGAGGCCUUCGGACUGGCGGUCUUGGACUGGGUUCCAUCUGCUAUCUAACUCCAGCAAUGGGGGGCUGUGGACUCGCCAUGACGAGACGGAAAGAUGUCCAAACUUGAUCAUUUAGAGGAAGUAAAAGUCGUAACAAGGUUUCC